UACGUAGGGUGCGAGCGUUGUCCGGAAUUAUUGGGCGUAAAGGGCGCGUAGGCGGCCUGGCAAGUGGAAGGUGAAAGUCCCUCGGCUUAACCGAGGAACUGCCCUCCAAACUGCUUGGCUUGAGUCCGGGAGAGGUGAGUGGAAUUCCCAGUGUAGCGGUGAAAUGCGUAGAUAUUGGGAGGAACACCAGUGGCGAAGGCGGCUCACUGGACCGGAACUGACGCUGAGGCGCGAAAGCGUGGGAGCAAACGGG
rnacentral:rRNA from 1 species